GAUGAAUGCUGGCGGCGUGCCUAACACAUGCAAGUCGAGCGGCAGCGAGUUUUACACUGAAUUCUGGAAGCUUCUGAGUAGUACAGAAGAUUUAUUCAAGAGUUUUGUGUAAAAUGUCGGCGAGCGGCGGACGGCUGAGUAACGCGUAGGAAUUUGCCCCAAAGUGAGGAAUAACUGCCCGAAAGGGUAGCUAAUGCCGCAUAUGGUCUUCGGAUUAAAGCCUUCGGGCGCUUUGGGAGAAGCCUGCGUUGGAUUAGGUAGUUGGUAGGGUAAUGGCCUACCAAGCCGACGAUCCAUAGCUGGUCUGAGAGGAUGAUCAGCCAGACUGGAACUGAGACACGGUCCAGACUCCUACGGGAAGCAGCAGUGAGGAAUCUUCCACAAUGGGCGAAAGCCUGAUGGAGCAACGCCGCGUGAAGGAUGAAGGCCUUCGGGUUGUAAACUUCUUUUAUGAGUGAAGAAUAUGACGGUAACUCAUGAAUAAGCACCGGCUAACUACGUG
rnacentral:rRNA from 1 species